GACGAACGCUGGCGGCGUGCUUAACACAUGCAAGUCGAACGGUGAAGCGCCUUCCUUUUUGGUGGGUGUGGAGGAGUGGCGAACGGGUGAGUAACACGUGAGUAACCUGCCCCCUUCUUCUGGAUAACCGCAUGAAAGUGUCGCUAAUACGGGAUAUUCUGGGUCUGUCGCAUGAUGGGUCUGGGAAAGCUAUUGUUUCGGUGGGGGAUGGUCUCGCGGCCUAUCAGCUUGUUGGUGGGGUGAUGGCCUACCAAGGCGGUGACGGGUAGCCGGCCGGAGAGGGUGGGCGAUCAUACAGGGACUGCGACGUGGAGCAGACUCCGACGGGAGGCAGUAGUGGAGAAUAUUGAAUGAUGGGAGCAAGCCUGAUGCAGCGACGCCGCGUGAGAGAUGGACGUCGUCUGGUAGUGAACCUCUGUCGCGAGUGAAGAGGGGCUGCCUCGUUUGUGGGUGGGUUGACGGUAGCUGGAUAAGAAGCGCCGGCUAACUACGUG
rnacentral:rRNA from 1 species